GGCGGCUUACACACGCAAGUCGAGGGGUAAUCACGCUUUCGGGCGUGAACGACCGGCGCACGGGUGAGUAACGCGUAUGGAACUUUCCUGCAACAGGAGAAUAGCCCGGGGAAACCCGGAUUAAUGCUCCAUAAAGCUUAUAGGUGGCAUCACCGAUAAGUUAAAGCUUUGGCGGUUGCAGAUGGCCAUGCGUACCAUUAGUUAGUUGGUGAGGUAACGGCUCACCAAGGCGACGAUGGUUAGGGGUCCUGAGAGGGUCAUCCCCCACACUGGAACUGAGACACGGUCCAGACUCCUACGGGAGGCAGCAGUGAGGAAUAUUGGUCAAUGGGCGAGAGCCUGAACCAGCCAUGCCGCGUGCAGGAAGACAGCCCUACGGGUUGUAAACUGCUUUUCUGGCGGAAGAAAGUACCGCACUUGUGCGGUAUUGACGGUACGCCAGGAAUAAGCAUCGGCUAACUCCGUGCCAGCAGCCGCGGUAAUACGGAGGAUGCAAGCGUUAUCCGGAUUCAUUGGGUUUAAAGGGUGCGCAGGCGGUGGUAUAAGUCAGUGGUGAAAGCCCGGGGCUCAACUCCGGGAUUGCCAUUGGAACUGUAUCACUUGAGUGUAGUCGAGGACGGCGGAAUGAGUUAUGUAGCGGUGAAAUGCAUAGAUAUAACUCAGAACACCGAUUGCGGAGGCAGCUGUCUAGGCUACGACUGACGCUGAGGCACGAAAGCGUGGGGAGCGAACAGGAUUAGAUACCCUGGUAGUCCACGCUGUAAACGAUGAUCACUCGCUGUUGGUUACCUAGUAACUAGUGGCUGAGGGAAACCAUUAAGUGAUCCACCUGGGGAGUACGUCGGCAACGAUGAAACUCAAAGGAACUGACGGGGGCCCGCACAAGCGGAGGAACAUGUGGUUUAAUUCGAUGAUACGCGAGGAACCUUACCUGGGCUUAAAUGCAGGCUGCAUUCCGGUGAAAGCCGGAUUUCCUACGGGACCGCCUGCAAGGUGCUGCAUGG
rnacentral:rRNA from 1 species